CCUGUGUCUCGUGCACAGUGCCCAACCUUCUUCCUCCAUGCUGGGUAUCAAGCCCAGGACCUGCACAUGGUGGCGGGAUGCUUGCUUUACCACUGAGCUCCGCUCCAGUUCGUCCUCGAAUUCUUCCAACACCCUGCACUGACUUUGAAGAGAGAGAGCAAAUAAUCAGAGAAAUUACUCUUUUUAUAAAGUCAGUUCUUGGUGAGGUCUAUAAAAAGGACCCGUUCCCUGAAAGGCUGCCUUCUGGGGUGCUGAGAGUUAAGAUCCCAGCAUGUCGUUUUAGCGGCCACCUUCGGUCUGUUCUUCAGUGCAUCUGAGAGGUGGGGCAGGCAAAGGAGUGGGGGCUGAAAUAACUGUUGGGGACCCCAAGUCCCUGAGGCUGGCCUCUGAAAGCGCUGUCUCCCUGGAGGGAGCAGGCAGGUCCCAUUGCAGCAGUAGGGAUGCCUGGAAAACCACCUGCAGACAAGUCCGACAAGAGGAUUAUGGGAGCCCAGGAAUUGGACAGCUGCCAAUCAAUGUGGGAGCCACCAGGCUGUGUGGGGUAACAUGGGCAAACACACCAGGGCCCAAUCACAGGUCUGCCUGGCUUCCUGGGACCUGAUGGGCCUGCCUUGCCACCUGGGAGGUUGGCCUAUAUCUGUGAAAUCCCCACUAGAAACUCAUGCUGAAAAGAACCAGCUCCACUUGUGUGUCCGUGCCGGUGAUCCCGUCUCUCCGGCUUUCAAUCCUCCUCCCUCUGAGCCUGGUGCACUGGAUGGAUGAGGCUUCAGGGGUUUGGGCGUGCUGACGACUGUCCCCCAUCCCCACCCUUGUGGAGUCUCAUUUGAGAAACCCUGGCAGGCUGAGGACCAACCCCAUAGGUCUUGUCUAUGUGGUUGGCUGGGUUUGACAACAGGAUGAGAUAUUGGCCUUCGUGGUACCUCCCGCAAAAUGGAUUCAAGGGGUCGACCCUGCCCCUGUGCCUUCUUGAGGCUUUGCCCUCACGGAAGGGUCAAGUUUUGCUCAUCCCGUCUUUCUUGCCUUGGGAUUCUCUCACGUUGUCUGAGGUGACAAUGUCCCCUGUCACCACCAAACCAUCUCCCACAGUCAGAGGACAGGAGAUUUCCAGGAGUUCUGCACGCGUGCCGAGAGAAUAAGAGACAGGACUGGGUGCUUAAGGGGGGAGAGGGAGCAGGCUCAAGGGUGUCUAAUCACAGCCUUGGGGUAGACAUUUGCCUGGGAAGAUGGAUGCAGCCCAUCCCCCCACCCCUUGUCUGCUCAGGGUGUAACCAAAGGCAUGCAGACCACCAACCCAGGGCCAGCGCUCCCCCACCUCACAGGUUCAGCUGUGACCAAGUAGCAUUUCUCACAUCCUGCAGCAAUUCCCAGUCUCUUGAAACACUCUGCCCACACAAUGCCUUCUCUUUCCCCAUCCCCAGACAAGCUUUCUCUGUGUAGCUUUGGAGUCUGUCCUGGAACUCACUAUGUAGACCAGGCUGGCCUGGUUUCUGACAUCUGAGUGCUGGGAUUAAAGGCAUGUGCCAUCACCAUCCAGCACAGGCCUCUUUUUACAAAGUGAAUUUUAGAGCCAGGUUGCCCAGAGUUCAAAUCCCAGCUCUGAAGCUUACCAGAUUCAGAAACUGCUGACUUGAAAGAAAAUAUCCCCCAAAGGGAGUGGUACUAUCAGGAGGUGUGGCUUUAGAAGAAGUGUCACUGUGGGGCGGGCUUUGAGACUGACUAAGUGAAGCCUAAGUCAGUCAACUUCCUGUUGCUUCUGAGUCAAGACAUAGGACUCUCAGCUCCAGCACCAUGUCUGCCUG